rnacentral:tRNA from 1 species
UUCCUUGUAGUUUAGCUGGUAAAGAAUCUGCCUGCAAUUCAGGAGACCCCAGUUUGAUUUCUGGGUAGGGAAG